AAUCUAGUGGGAACCAGUGGCGGCUCGUGGGUUUUAAAAUAGAGGAGGCACACUAAUUUUAUUGGUCUGGGAUCCAUGCCGAUUAUUAUUAUUACCU